rnacentral:rRNA from 1 species
AGUGACACUGUUCAACGGCCGCGGUAUCCUAACCGUGCGAAGGUAGCGUAAUCACUUGUCCUUUAAAUGGGGACUAGUAUGAACGGCACCACGAGGGUUAUACUGUCUCCUUUUUCCAAUCAGUGAAUCUMAUCUCCCCGUGAAGAAGCGGGGAUACACCUAUWAGACGAGAAGACCCUAUGGAGCUUUAAACGAAACAACAUCUGCUAAGUCACACUCGUAUCUCACGAGAUCAACUCUAUUUAGCUUUAUGGUUGUUAGUUUUAGGUUGGGGUGACCGCGGAGUAAAAAAUAACCUCCACAAUGAAUGGGGACUUCCCCUAAGCAGUMAGCCACAACUUUAUGCAUCAACAAAUUGACAUCGAUUGACCCWAUAUUUUGAUCAACGAAACAAGUKACCCUAGGKAUAACAGCGCAAUCUACUUCAAGAGCCCGUAUCGACAAGUGAGUUUACGACCUCGAUGUUGGAUCARGGUCCCCCAGUKGUGCAGCCGCUACUAAA